AGGUGGUUCCACUGCCUAGAGUUGACAAGGUAAUGAGUGUUUGGGAGGUGAGACAGGUCUGCCAGAGUGAAUUCAUCGCCCGCAAGGGGGGCGAACGCUAAGUGGAAGACUAAUGCCCAGCUCGGAGGGUUGAAGCUCUGCUCCUCUGUCUUCAGCCAUUGCUCGAUGGAUCCCCUGUCGAGUAGAUCCCUUCCGAGAAGGCUUAAGACUAUCUUGUGAGGAAUGGACAAACUUGUGCUGGGAGGAUGAAGAAAUUACGUACCUAGUAAGAAUGUGUCUCUGUCUUUGAAGGCUGGGAC